UGAUGUAGCGAUGCACCUUCUCGAACUGUUCCAGGUCUUUGUGUCCCUUCUCCAUGCACACGUCCCACAUGCUCACUGCAGCCACCACUUUCACACAUGCCGAUUCCUGGAGCCAGUUAGAAACAAACAUGGUCUUGGCUUAUGCUGGCACCUUCUCAAAGACAGCUGCCCACUGCCCUGUGCGUAGUACAGCCCUGCUUCCUGCAGCCCGAAUCUGGCACUCCUGACGGCUGACCUGCUUCUUCCUCUGUCACUGCAAAACAUACCUUCUAACAGACAAUAUAAUUUAUGGUUUAUUGUCUCCUAUGCCCACAAUAAAAUGUAAGCUCCGUGAA